UUAAGCGACUAAGCGUACACGGUGGAUGCCCUGGCAGUCAGAGGCGAUGAAGGACGUGCUAAUCUGCGAUAAGCGUCGGUGAGGUGACAUGAACCGUUAUAACCGGCGAUUUCCGAAUGGGGAAACCCAGUGUGUUUCGACACACUAUCAUUAACUGAAUCCAUAGGUUAAUGAGGCGAACCGGGGGAACUGAAACAUCUAAGUACCCCGAGGAAAAGAAAUCAACCGAGAUUCCCCCAGUAGCGGCGAGCGAACGGGGAGGAGCCCAGAGCCUGAAUCAGUGUGUGUGUUAGUGGAAGCGUCUGGAAAGGCGCGCGAUACAGGGUGACAGCCCCGUACACAAAAAUGCACAUAUUGUGAGCUCGAUGAGUAGGGCGGGACACGUGGUAUCCUGUCUGAAUAUGGGGGGACCAUCCUCCAAGGCUAAAUACUCCUGACUGACCGAUAGUGAACCAGUACCGUGAGGGAAAGGCGAAAAGAACCCCGGCGAGGGGAGUGAAAAAGAACCUGAAACCGUGUACGUACAAGCAGUGGGAGCCUCUUAAUGGGGUGACUGCGUACCUUUUGUAUAAUGGGUCAGCGACUUAUAUUCUGUAGCAAGGUUAACCGAAUAGGGGAGCCGAAGGGAAACCGAGUCUUAACUGGGCGUUAAGUUGCAGGGUAUAGACCCGAAACCCGGUGAUCUAGCCAUGGGCAGGUUGAAGGUUGGGUAACACUAACUGGAGGACCGAACCGACUAAUGUUGAAAAAUUAGCGGAUGACUUGUGGCUGGGGGUGAAAGGCCAAUCAAACCGGGAGAUAGCUGGUUCUCCCCGAAAGCUAUUUAGGUAGCGCCUCGUGAAUUCAUCUCCGGGGGUAGAGCACUGUUUCGGCAAGGGGGUCAUCCCGACUUACCAACCCGAUGCAAACUGCGAAUACCGGAGAAUGUUAUCACGGGAGACACACGGCGGGUGCUAACGUCCGUCGUGAAGAGGGAAACAACCCAGACCGCCAGCUAAGGUCCCAAAGUCAUGGUUAAGUGGGAAACGAUGUGGGAAGGCCCAGACAGCCAGGAUGUUGGCUUAGAAGCAGCCAUCAUUUAAAGAAAGCGUAAUAGCUCACUGGUCGAGUCGGCCUGCGCGGAAGAUGUAACGGGGCUAAACCAUGCACCGAAGCUGCGGCAGCGACGCUUAUGCGUUGUUGGGUAGGGGAGCGUUCUGUAAGCCUGUGAAGGUGGCCUGUGAGGGUUGCUGGAGGUAUCAGAAGUGCGAAUGCUGACAUAAGUAACGAUAAAGCGGGUGAAAAGCCCGCUCGCCGGAAGACCAAGGGUUCCUGUCCAACGUUAAUCGGGGCAGGGUGAGUCGACCCCUAAGGCGAGGCCGAAAGGCGUAGUCGAUGGGAAACAGGUUAAUAUUCCUGUACUUGGUGUUACUGCGAAGGGGGGACGGAGAAGGCUAUGUUGGCCGGGCGACGGUUGUCCCGGUUUAAGCGUGUAGGCUGGUUUUCCAGGCAAAUCCGGAAAACCAAGGCUGAGGCGUGAUGACGAGGCACUACGGUGCUGAAGCGACAAAUGCCCUGCUUCCAGGAAAAGCCUCUAAGCAUCAGGUAACAUCAAAUCGUACCCCAAACCGACACAGGUGGUCAGGUAGAGAAUACCAAGGCGCUUGAGAGAACUCGGGUGAAGGAACUAGGCAAAAUGGUGCCGUAACUUCGGGAGAAGGCACGCUGAUAUGUAGGUGAAGCGACUUGCUCGUGGAGCUGAAAUCAGUCGAAGAUACCAGCUGGCUGCAACUGUUUAUUAAAAACACAGCACUGUGCAAACACGAAAGUGGACGUAUACGGUGUGACGCCUGCCCGGUGCCGGAAGGUUAAUUGAUGGGGUUAGCGGUAACGCGAAGCUCUUGAUCGAAGCCCCGGUAAACGGCGGCCGUAACUAUAACGGUCCUAAGGUAGCGAAAUUCCUUGUCGGGUAAGUUCCGACCUGCACGAAUGGCGUAAUGAUGGCCAGGCUGUCUCCACCCGAGACUCAGUGAAAUUGAACUCGCUGUGAAGAUGCAGUGUACCCGCGGCAAGACGGAAAGACCCCGUGAACCUUUACUAUAGCUUGACACUGAACAUUGAGCCUUGAUGUGUAGGAUAGGUGGGAGGCUUUGAAGUGUGGACGCCAGUCUGCAUGGAGCCGACCUUGAAAUACCACCCUUUAAUGUUUGAUGUUCUAACGUUGGCCCGUAAUCCGGGUUGCGGACAGUGUCUGGUGGGUAGUUUGACUGGGGCGGUCUCCUCCUAAAGAGUAACGGAGGAGCACGAAGGUUGGCUAAUCCUGGUCGGACAUCAGGAGGUUAGUGCAAUGGCAUAAGCCAGCUUGACUGCGAGCGUGACGGCGCGAGCAGGUGCGAAAGCAGGUCAUAGUGAUCCGGUGGUUCUGAAUGGAAGGGCCAUCGCUCAACGGAUAAAAGGUACUCCGGGGAUAACAGGCUGAUACCGCCCAAGAGUUCAUAUCGACGGCGGUGUUUGGCACCUCGAUGUCGGCUCAUCACAUCCUGGGGCUGAAGUAGGUCCCAAGGGUAUGGCUGUUCGCCAUUUAAAGUGGUACGCGAGCUGGGUUUAGAACGUCGUGAGACAGUUCGGUCCCUAUCUGCCGUGGGCGCUGGAGAACUGAGGGGGGCUGCUCCUAGUACGAGAGGACCGGAGUGGACGCAUCACUGGUGUUCGGGUUGUCAUGCCAAUGGCACUGCCCGGUAGCUAAAUGCGGAAGAGAUAAGUGCUGAAAGCAUCUAAGCACGAAACUUGCCCCGAGAUGAGUUCUCCCUGAGACUUAGAGUCUCCUGAAGGAACGUUGAAGACGACGACGUUGAUAGGCCGGGUGUGUAAGCGCAGCGAUGCGUUGAGCUAACCGGUACUAAUGAACCGUGAGGCUUAACCUU
rnacentral:rRNA from 1 species